GACCGCGUAGCUCAGUUGGCAGAGCAUUGGGCAAGUAUUCCAAAGGUCGUAGGUUCGACUCCCACCGUGGUCA
rnacentral:tRNA from 1 species